ACCAGACACAGACAGGAGCUGACAAGAGAAAGGUGACAUGGGUACUCCAGGUUCUUGUAGCAACAUCCUUCUGCAAAGUGAGAGGAAAAGCUCUUUGACUGAUAAAAUCUGCAUCCCCUUUGGUAGGUGAGCUCAGUAAAUGUGGUAAGAUAAAUAAAAAUAAAUCAAUGUAUGUCAAGUCGGCACCUUGCCACUGCUGGCCAGGCCCUCCUGCAGAGCUGCAGGAGCCCUUCUCCUGCUGGUUUGUCUUGUUUGCACACAGGUCACCUCACACUGUGAUGUGGGACAAAGUCAUCUGCGUGCCUGGGGCUGCUGUUGGCAAAUCCAGCCUGGAGCUGGACGAAGGCCAGUGUGGGACUGGGCUGAAGUCAGACCUCUGCUUGGUUACAGGUCCAUCACCUGCUAUUUUCCUUUGGUGGUCUCACCACACUUAGGGAGAUAGAUGGGUAUAUCAGAAAAUUAUCUACACAUAAUUUGUCAUAUUUGGGCUCCAGUGACAACAGCCUCUCUGCUUUGGAAGAGCCUAGGGUUAGCAUGGUAAGGAAAAGAAAUAACUCCUUACCCUGAGGGCUUAGUUCUUCCCAUGCAGCACAGAGGGCAGCUGAAAGCCGUGUGGGGAAACUAAACUGCUGAAGCAUUUUGUGUUUAACGUGGCAUGAGAAUACGGAUGAGAUGAGUUGCUCUUCCCCACUGCCAACCCUUGAACUUAAGAUUGAAAGAAAUCCUGAUGGGAUUAUUUCAAAAAGUUCCCCUGAAGAAAGUGGAGAGGUUACAGAAACAAAAUCUAUUAUCCAUCAUCCCGUCAUUAACAAAGUGGAAGGACUGGCAGAAGAAUUGUUGGCCUAAACUUGAGACGUCAAAAAAUAGGUAAGAAAAAUAGACUGGGGAAAUAUUCCCUGGGAAGGGGAAGGGAUUGGAUGGUACUGCUAGCCCUCUUCAUCUCUCAUUUUUAGGAGUCUAUUAUGUUAUUUUGUAGAGUGAAGAGUGGUUGAAAUGAUUAAUGGACCGCAGGGCUUGACAUGCGAGCAGGCGGCCAAACGAGUGAAUGUGUGCAGAAAAGCUCAGCUUCAGAGAGGGAUUCCUGAGUGCUGCUGGCUGGGCAGGCAGGGGUGCUGCACCCUGCAAUUUAAGGAGGUGUAAUUAGCUGAAACAAAACAACAAUUAGCCAAGAAAAUCUUUCAACACAGCAUUUUAUUGUGCCUACCUAUGAUCUCUGCCAGGAGUGACAGCUCGCUCUGUGCCACUCAGCUGCAGUGCUGGCAUCCAUGGCUCACUCACUGUCUCCCAGUCCAUGGCAUCACUCAGCACAGCCCAGGCCAUGUGCUCUGCUCCCCAGUCUGGCUCUGCAGCCCCCUUUACCACAUCAUGGUAAACUAACUAACCCUCAGAAAAGCCGAAAGGUGCGCUGCAUCCCAUACUGUGUUUAAAUCCCAAGGGACCAUAGGUCAAAGGGGAAAAACAUCCCAGAUAAAAAGAAUAGGCUGGAUUAGACAGAGAAGGUGCAUAACAGUAAUUUCAGAAAGGUCUCUGCAGGUAUGAAGGCUCUGCUGACAACACCCCUGAAGAACCAGCUGGGGUGGAAGGACUCCUCCUUCACGACCAUCCCCUUCUACCUGCCAAGCCAGACUGCUGCCAAUUCAGCUGCAGACUUGGAGCAGGAAUUGAGAGCAGCAGAUGUUGCAGCCUGCUGAAAGCUUCCUGGUGCCUGAGUAUUUGAACUUCUAGAGAAGAGCUCUUGUGGAGAAGGCCACUGACUGACUGCAGGAUUGCAGCAUGCCAUAAUUUUGGAUGACUUCAGUGUUUUACUGUGAAAUUUCCUCAUGGAGGAAAAUGUAUCAGGAUCUUCCUAGCACUCUGUAAAGUCACUCAAAGUUGGUCCUGCCUCUCUGCUACCUUGUUGGAGUCUUCUUGAAGUGCUGCAGUGCUGUUGGUAGUGGCUUUGUCCUGUGCUGUUUUGGAAAAGUGAUGGGACUUUUUAUGUGUGCAGUUAGAUUUGAGUCUAUUUGAUCCCUAAGCAAAGGAGAGAGGAAAAGUUAUUGUGUGAGCAUGUUCUGUCCAGGGAGAGGGAGAGAAUAUAUAUUUUUUAAAACAGGAAAGAGAACAUUAUCUGGCUUUUUCACUUUUAUCCUGACACAAUCAUGCCCCAUAAGCCCUUAUAUAUGAAAUAAAACACAUGCAGUUUACUCUUGCUUUAGGCCC
ensembl:lncRNA